rnacentral:rRNA from 1 species
AGUCGAACGAAGCAUUUAGAACAGAUUAUUUCGGUAUGAAGUUUUUUAUGACUGAGUGGCGGACGGGUGAGUAACGCGUGGGUAACCUGCCUUGUACUGGGGGAUAGCAGCUGGAAACGGCUGGUAAUACCGCAUAAGCGCACAAUGUUGCAUGACAUGGUGUGAAAAACUCCGGUGGUAUAAGAUGGACCCGCGUCUGAUUAGCUAGUUGGUGAGAUAACAGCCCACCAAGGCGACGAUCAGUAGCCGACCUGAGAGGGUGACCGGCCACAUUGGGACUGAGACACGGCCCAGACUCCUACGGGAGGCAGCAGUGGGGAAUAUUGCACAAUGGAGGAAACUCUGAUGCAGCGACGCCGCGUGAGUGAAGAAGUAAUUCGUUAUGUAAAGCUCUAUCAGCAGGGAAGAUAGUGACGGUACCUGACUAAGAAGCUCCGGCUAAAUACGUGCCAGCAGCCGCGGUAAUACGUAUGGAGCAAGCGUUAUCCGGAUUUACUGGGUGUAAAGGGAGUGUAGGUGGCCAUGCAAGUCAGAAGUGAAAAUCCGGGGCUCAACCCCGGAACUGCUUUUGAAACUGUAAGACUAGAGUGCAGGAGGGGUGAGUGGAAUUCCUAGUGUAGCGGUGAAAUGCGUAGAUAUUAGGAGGAACACCAGUGGCGAAGGCGGCUCACUGGACUGUAACUGACACUGAGG